AUUUUGUUGGAGAUCCCUGCUGAUCUGAGGCCUUCUAAGGCUGUGCUAUCUCUGAACACAGAGCUAUACUCCCCAGUCUCCAGAAUGUGUACUACAAGAGAACACUAUCAAAAGUUUUAGCACUACAUAAACAAUACUUAAGUCUUUAUAAGAGCAACUGUUUUUCUCCUGGAGACUUCUUCUAGACAAAUACAUCUUAUGGAAGCAGCUGAUUAAAUCUUUAUUGUUUUUGUUUGUUUUAAAUAGGUGACCCUUAAGUUCAAUGUACUCAUCUUCCUGUGUGUGAAAACAAAUUUUUUUAACCAACUUGUGUGGAAUGUAUAAAUAAUAACAUUUAACAUAGGAUAGCUAAUGAGGUUGUGCAUAAUUACUACAAAAUGGCUGGGCUGGUAACUCCUCACAGCACUCUGUUUAUCAUCAGGAGCUUAUCUGCUCAAGUAGGAAAAUGUGGAGGCUCUGACCAUAAAAGCACAGAAGGUUUAGUCCAGCCCUUCCUGUCAUUCUUUUCUUUAGCAUAAGAUAACCAGUAUGCAUUUAAGUGUUUCUGCAUCAUGCAUUAUAACUGCUAACAGUCCGGACAUCUGCUCAUUAUACAGAUUUAACUAUGAACUUACAAGACAAGGCACCCUUGCAUAUGUUUGUCAAAUCUGAAAGUGUUUAGCUUGGUCUUCUAAACAACUCAAUUUUAAAUAUUCAGUGUCUGAUUCUAUCCCCAGAGUGCACGCUCAGACAGCAGAAAAACACUGACACACCUGGAAGUCAAAGCACAGUGAAAGCCAGUUGGCUCCCAUUUCAUCAAACUAACUAUCGUGGUACAUAGAUGAGUUGUGAAUCUUCCCUGCCCUGUUAUACUUCUUGCUUCUUGGAGAGUCACUUAACUUACACUUUAUGCUGCUUUAAACUUCUGAAGUUAUGCUUCAGAAAUAUUGCAACACCACUCUAAUGAAGCCUUGUUACUCUGCUUCAUGCUUAACUAGACUUGUUCAUCCUGCAAUGCUGGAGAAACUCUGUUUUCACAGAAUUAAAUAAUAACCCUACCAAAACUUACAGCCCUGUUAAUUCUCAGACCAAGGAGCAUUAUGC
ensembl:lncRNA